rnacentral:rRNA from 1 species
UACGAAGGGGGCUAGCGUUGCUCGGAAUUACUGGGCGUAAAGGGAGCGUAGGCGGACAUUUAAGUCAGGGGUGAAAUCCCAGAGCUCAACUCUGGAACUGCCUUUGAUACUGGGUGUCUUGAGUGUGAUAGAGGUAUGUGGAACUCCGAGUGUAGAGGUGAAAUUCGUAGAUAUUCGGAAGAACACCAGUGGCGAAGGCGACAUACUGGAUCAUUACUGACGCUGGAGGUGACGAAAGCGUGGGGAGCAAACAGG